UGCCCAGCAACUCUUAUCCCUACCUCCACGCGGUACCGGCCGGAAACUAUGAGCAACCUUAGGGAAG
rnacentral:ribozyme from 1 species